rnacentral:rRNA from 1 species
GAUGAACGCUGGCGGCGUGCCUAAUACAUGCAAGUCGAGCGAACGGACGAGAAGCUUGCUUCUCUGAUGUUAGCGGCGGACGGGUGAGUAACACGUGGAUAACCUACCUAUAAGACUGGGAUAACUUCGGGAAACCGGAGCUAAUACCGGAUAAUAUUUUGAACCGCAUGGUUCAAAAGUGAAAGACGGUCUUGCUGUCACUUAUAGAUGGAUCCGCGCUGCAUUAGCUAGUUGGUAAGGUAACGGCUUACCAAGGCAACGAUGCAUAGCCGACCUGAGAGGGUGGUCGGCCACACUGGAACUGAGACACGGUCCAGACUCCUACGGGAGGCAGCAGUAGGGAAUCUUCCGCAAUGGGCGAAAGCCUGACGGAGCAACGCCGCGUGAGUGAUGAAGGUCCUCGGAUCGUAAAACUCUGUUAUUAGGGAAGAACAUAUGUGUAAGUAACUGUGCACAUCUUGACGGUACCUAAUCAGAAAGCCACGGCUAACUACGUG